CCGGUCAUUUCUAUGUCGCAUAACGGUUUAAAUUCACCUUUGGCACCAAUCAAAUCCAGUAAACGGACGAUGAAUUCACCUGAAAAGAACCAUUUUAAUUUUUCCUUUUUCCUUCCGAAUCGUCGUCUGCUUUGCUAGGGACAGCGCCAUCUAGUAACUAUACAUGAAUACUUGACGUGAUGGUUGCCAUCUAGUAGUCAUACCAAAUACGCAGUUUAAAAAAAACAGCGAUUCUUUUUUCUUUUAUGUUUUUAAAAAACCAUGAAUUAAUUAAAGAAAUGGACCAUGAUUAAAGGCACAUCAAUAUUUAAAAAAAAAAAUAAUAAUAAUCCGCAAAUAGAUAAUAAGGUGCGGAGUGAUUGACAUUUUUAUUCCGUAGUCUCUGUUUGACAUCAGAAAUAGAUUUUUAUUUUUUGUCAAAUUAAAUAAACAUGUGCUAUAUCCUA